rnacentral:rRNA from 1 species
UACGUAGGUGGCAAGCGUUAUCCGGAUUUACUGGGUGUAAAGGGUGCGUAGGCGGGUCUUCAAGUCAGAUGUGAAAUACCUUGGCUCAACCAAGGAAUUGCAUUUGAAACUGAAGGUCUUGAGAGCGGGAGAGGUAAGCGGAAUUCCCAGUGUAGCGGUGAAAUGCGUAGAGAUUGGGGGGAACACCAGUGGCGAAGGCGGCUUACUGGACCGCAACUGACGCUGAGGCACGAGAGCGUGGGGAGCAAAC